AUGGAGAUUCAACUCCGCGUGAUGUUUGAUGAUAUCUAUACUAAGGCCAUGGUGCUUCGGAAGUGGCAUUGCACCAUCCUUCGGUGCAUCUCACAUCUUUCCUUUCUAGCCGCUUUUGUGCUCUUUUCUUCUGUAAUAAGAUACAAAGAGGAGAGGUGGUACUACAGUUCUGUUGACACUGCAAUCACCUAUGGAUUGUUUUUCGGCGGUUUCUCUCUUGAAGUUUCCUCAUUAUGUGUCAUCAUGAUGUCACCUUGGACCCGGGCAUGGCUGAAGGAAAAGACUCGGCAUUGCACCUUCCUUUGUUCCAUCAUCACUAAGUUGUUUAGAAGGAAAAGAUGGUCAAGCUGCAUGGGUCAGUACACCAUGUUAAACUAUUUGCUGCGGUCUGAACGGCCGUCUGCCGUCUUUGCUCCAUGGGACAUCACUUGGUGGUCAAAAAGUUCCCUGAUCGUGAUCAGAAAAUUGGUGCACGCAUUGUGGGGAGCACAGGCACCGUUGUCGAUCAGUAGGAAGGUGGACACAAGGUUCGUGAUGGUGGAUGAGCAGAUCAUGAGAUGCGUCGUCCAGAAGAUUGAUCAGUAUCUCCGCUAUGAUGGAUCAAGUAGCCCCCAGCAGCACUGGCCAAAUCUAGGUACAGUGCUACAGAAGAUAGUGCAGGAUCAUGGUCCCAAUUUUGAUCAUCUCUCCAUUAUCAAGCUCCAUUUAUACACAGAGAUACAGCUGAGUAGGUAUGUAUGCACUGACACUGCUGUGGACAAUGAUGCUGAUCUGGUCCGGAGGAUAUCACACUAUAUGGUUUAUCUUUUGGUGAAUCUCCCUGAAGUGCUGCCAAUCUACGAUAGCGGCGAAAGUGGCCGUGAUUCAAUAUUACAGCUGUAUGAAACCUUGGCGGGUAGGCAUGUUGAUGAAAGUGGCAGUGAGUCAAUAGCACAGCUCAAUGAAACCUUGGAGGGUAGGCAUGUUGAUGCCCCCCUGCAUCGGACAAUUUUGUUUCUUACAAAAAAUGAAAUUCCGGAGCCCCCGGCCGAGUGCACAGAAGCGCAGCUGUCAGAGCUCCGAGAGGCGUGGGUAGGCCUGCUCCUCCACGCCGCCAGCAAGUCGCGGCCGGAGGAGCAUGCGGCGCAGCUAGCCAGAGGGGGGGAGCUCCUUACCUUCAUCUGGCUGCUCAUGGCCCACUACGGACUUGGGGAUGUGAUAGACUGCCCCAUCGAGAUGACGGCUGAGGCACCUGUUGGUCAGCGCCGCUACGCCUUCUGA
rnacentral:rRNA from 1 species